AACGAACGCUGGCGGCAUGCCUAACACAUGCAAGUCGAACGAAACCUUCGGGUCUUGUGGCGCAUGGGUGCGUAACGCGUGGGAACCUGCCCUUAGGUUUGGACUAACUCUCCGAAUGGGGUGCUAAUACCGGAUCAUGUCUUCGGACCAAAGAUUUAUCGCCCUUGGUUGGGCCCGCGUUGGAUUCGCUGGUUGGUAGGGUAAAAGCAUACCACGGCGAUGAUCCAUAGAUGGUCUGAGAGGAUGAUCAGCCACACUGAGACUGAGACGCGGCCCAGACUCCUACGGGAGGCAGGAGAGGGGAACAUAGGAAAAUGGGGGAAAGGCUGAUCCAGCAAGGCCGCGUGAGUGAUGAAGGCCUUAGGAUUGUAAAGCGCUUUUAACCGGGAUGAUAAUGACAGUACCGAGAGAAUAAGCUCCGGCUAACUCCGUG
rnacentral:rRNA from 1 species